rnacentral:rRNA from 1 species
AAUCAACGCUGGCGGCGUGCCUAACACAUGCAAGUCGAACGCGAAAGCCCCGCAAGGGGGUAAGUAGAGUGGCGCACGGGCGAGUAACACGUGGAUAACCUGCCUUUGAGUGGGGAAUAACCUUCCGAAAGGAGGGCUAAUACCGCAUAACACCUUUAGACAAAAGUCAAAGGGUUAAAAGGAGCAAUUCGCUCAAAGAGGGGUCCGCGCCUGAUUAGCUAGUUGGUGAGGUAACGGCUCACCAAGGCUCGAUCAGUAGCCGUCCUGAGAGGGAGCACGGCCACACUGGAACUGAGACACGGUCCAGACUCCUACGGGAGGCAGCAGUGGGGAAUUUUUGGCAAUGGGCGAAAGCCUGACCAAGCAACGCCGCGUGGGUGAUGAAGUAUCUUGGUACGUAAAACCCUUUCGGCAGGGACGAACUCAAUGACGGUACCUGCGGAAGAAGCCCCGGCUAACUCCGUGCCAGCCGCCGCCGU